rnacentral:rRNA from 1 species
UACGUAGGGUGCGAGCGUUAAUCGGAAUUACUGGGCGUAAAGCGUGCGCAGGCGGUUGUGCAAGACCGAUGUGAAAUCCCCGGGCUCAACCUGGGAAUGGCAUUGGUGACUGCACGGCUAGAGUGUGUCAGAGGGGGGUAGAAUUCCACGUGUAGCAGUGAAAUGCGCAGAUAUCAGGAAGAACACCAAUGGCGAAAGCAGCUCUCUGGGACGGUACUGACGCUGAGACGCGAAAGCGUGGGGAGCGAACAGG